AUUGUAAGAUGCUGGAGAUAAUCUUGUUAUAGUUGAUUUUUACUCCCCUGGAUGUGGAGGUUGCAAAGCUUUGCAUCCAAAGGCUCAGGCUUAAACCUGUGUUCCUAGAGGUAUGAGGUGGUGGGAGAAAACAAGCAAGCCAAACAUGAUGAGAUCAUAUCUACACAACAUCUUGUUGAUUCAUUGUUAGAUGCUAGAGAUAAUCUUGUUAUAGUUGAUUUUUACUCCCCUGGAUGGAGGUUGCAAAGCUUUGCAUCCAAAGAAUUAUAUCCAAAUGCGACAUUUCUCAUGGUUAACUAUGAAGAACGUAGAUCCAUGUGUCAAAGUCUACAUAUUGACGUACUACCUUUCUUCAGAUUCUAUGGAGGGGCUCGAGGCCGUGUCUCAAGCUUCAGUUGUACUAAUGCAACAGUAAGUCAUGAAUCAAAAUCUAUUCUUAUUGAUUCAAACAUUUUAGUUGCUUGAAAUUUAAUUCAAACAUUUUAGUUGCUUGAAAUUUAAUUUACAUUAUUUUCGAUGGUGUUUGCAGAUAAAUAAA